GGUAGGGUGACAAAGAAGAGAAACCAAAUACAAAAUAGUAAUAGCCCUUUGCCGCAGCAUAGAUCCAUAGAAGAUUCCAAGUAUUUGACAACGAUGAUACCUUAUCACAUGGACAGUGGCCCACCUGAUAAUCAAGCUUUACAAGUCCUCAUUAAGAUAUUAAAGGCUAUUAAUGAGGAUAGUCCAACAGUGCCCACAUUAUUAACGGACUACAUAUUGAAAGUUCUGUGCCCCACCUAGUGAUCCACUAGUACAUAUCCUCCAACGUGACAUCUCUGUGCUACGUAUAAAGAAGAAAAGAUUUAUUAAGAUGCAAAUUGCUCCUCUCUUCUUGCCAUUGUGCUUUCAGCCAUUGGUGUGCUGUGUGUUUGAAAUUUAGGACAGUAUAUAAUAUAGAGUAACAGGUACAGCUACGAAUAUAGCACUACAAUAAAUCUUAUAGAAAUGAGCUCUCAUUGAGAUUUCUCUGUACUUAUAAUUCGACACGAGAAGGCAAAAAUCAAUGU